UCAUGACUGACACCUCUUGAGCGAGCCUUCGGGCAUUGAUCUUAACCAGUCCCUGAUU
rfam:Tetrahymena thermophila SB210 genomic scaffold scf_8254666, whole genome shotgun sequence.